rnacentral:rRNA from 1 species
GAUGAACGCUGGCGGCGUGCUUAACACAUGCAAGUCGAACGGAAAGGCCCAAGCUUGCUUGGGUACUCGAGUGGCGAACGGGUGAGUAACACGUGGGUGAUCUGCCCUGCACUUCGGGAUAAGCCUGGGAAACUGGGUCUAAUACCGGAUAGGACCACAUUUUGGAUGGUGUGGUGGAAAGUUUUUCGGUGUGGGAUGAGCUCGCGGCCUAUCAGCUUGUUGGUAGGGUAAUGGCCUACCAAGGCGUCGACGGGUAGCCGGCCUGAGAGGGUGUACGGCCACAUUGGGACUGAGAUACGGCCCAGACUCCUACGGGAGGCAGCAGUGGGGAAUAUUGCACAAUGGGCGCAAGCCUGAUGCAGCGACGCCGCGUGGGGGAUGACGGCCUUCGGGUUGUAAACUCCUUUCGCUAGGGACGAAGCGCAAGUGACGGUACCUGGAGAAGAAGCACCGGCUAACUACGUG